ensembl:lncRNA
AGCAUAACAGGGAGCUUCCCUGCCCUGUGACAACCAACUGGAAUGAGACACUGGUGUAACUGGGAUACAUGUGAUGGUCUUUUGUGUGGUUUACUGGCACUGAGGAGUGUUAUGGAACUCUUGUGCUCUGAACGAUCAUGACCACACCCAGGAUUACCUGCUGCCAUACAAAUACUAUUCAUUCCUACAGAUAUAUUUCUGGGAAUUAGAUCAAUUAUAAAAUAUAUCUGACUUGACUCAUCUCUCUGACUCCUCUUCCUCUCCGACCUGUUCUCUCUCAGUUCAUGUCCAGAUGUCCUCCAGCAGGAAUGUUGAUGUCUCUCACCGACCAUGUGGCCCAGCCUCACUUAUACGGUCCAUUAAAAUAUCCCCUCUUAAGCAGCUGACUGAAUAAUGAUUGACAGCUUGUGAAGCACAAAGGCUAUUUGACGACAACACUUUGGAAGAUAUGCAUUUAAUUGGUCUGUAACGGACAGCUGGAGCUGUUCCCUUCAGUCCUCCUCCGUCAGAUGGGAAUGGUUUUAGUAGAUCACUUUGCAAGCCAGUACAGGAGCAACAUUUACAACGACCAUUGGUGACGGGGGGAAACCACGUCUUGCUUUUAAUCCCUUAAGCAAGAGGAGUUAACUGGAACAAAACACAUGGGUUGGAUGCAGAAAAGCGCAACACGGAGGAGUCACUCAGCGUACGCAUGGCUCACCUCAGGGCUUCUUCUUUUUACGCGGCCCUUCUGCAGGGCUCUGCGCUCAGCCUACUUCGGUCCCGUCUAUAUUUAGG